UACGUAGGGGGCAAGCGGUUGUCCGGAUUUAUUGGGCGUUAAAGAGCGUGUAAGGCGGCCAAGCAGGUCAGCUGUGAAAACUCGGAGGCUCAACCUCGAGACGUCGGUUGAAACCGCUUGGCUAGAGUCCGGAAGAGGAGAGUGGAAUUCCCGGUGUAGCGGUGAAAUGCGCAGAUAUCGGGAAGAACACCCGUGGCGAAGGCGGCUCUCUGGGACGGUACUGACGCUGAGACGGCGAAAGCGUGGGGAGCAAACAGG
rnacentral:rRNA from 1 species